GGCAAACGGCUGAUGCACGCGUGCAGCACUUUCACGCGUGCAUCAACAGUGCGAAGGUAAUUAAAUUACCUUCGCACUGUUCAAAUGCAAUUUGAACACAACACUAUAAAAGGGGAAGUGGGCGUACCUGCUUCUGGAGAUGAUGAAGAAAUCUGCAACGCCGAUGUAGCUACUGUCGUUCGAUUGCUUUCUUCUCUUUCCCUGUUGUGGCCACCGUCUUCCUUUCUUUUGAUUUCUCGGUUCUUGGGAUGAAGAAGCUGAGAAGGGACUACGACAAUAGCAAAGCUAAUUCUCGCUUUUAUGAACGAAGACAAUGGUUGUUCCUCUGCUUUUCUCUCCUCCUCCUUGUGUUCUGGGUUUUCAUCUCCCUUUUAUAGACUCCCCAGCUGAUUGCCUCUAACCAGUCCUGCCUUUGCAGGACUGUUAUCUUCCACGAACGAGAUCGUGGGCGAGAGACGUGGUCCUCUAUUGGAUCGAAUCCGUUGCAGAUUUUCAGCCUGUUGAAUCGGGAUGGAGAAGACGAACACGGCUGUUCCACCAGCAACGGCGACGUUUCAAGCAGCAAUGGACAUCUUCAUUUUGACCCCUGAACUUUGGAAAUUCGGCAAUUGGACCUCUAAGCAAUUAAAAAUUCCUUUUAAUUUUGCCCCUUUGGAUUAAUUUCAAUUAAAUCCCUAAAUUAUAACAAUGUUUACAAAACAGUCCUUAA